UACGGGGGGGGCAAGCGUUGUUCGGAAUUACUGGGCGUAAAGGGCUCGUAGGUGGCCAACUAAGUCAGACGUGAAAUCCCUCGGCUUAACCGGGGAGCUGCGUCUGAUACUGGAUGGCUUGAGUUCGGGAGAGGGAUGCGGAAUUCCAGGUGUAGCGGUGAAAUGCGUAGAUAUCUGGAGGAACACCGGUGGCGAAGGCAGCAUCCUGGACCGACACUGACACUGAGGAGCGAAAGCCAGGGGAGCAAACGGG
rnacentral:rRNA from 1 species